UCAGCAGCCGCGGUAAGACGGAGGGGGCAAGCGUUGUCCGGAAUUACUGGGCGUAAAGCGCUCGUAGGCGGUCCUUUACGGCGAUGGUGAAAGCUCCCGGCUCAACUGGGAGAGGCCCGUCGCAACGGGGGGACUCGAGGGUGGUAGAGGCAGAUGGAAUUCCUGGUGUAGCGGUGAAAUGCGUAGAGAUCAGGAGGAACACCCAUGGCGAAGGCAGUCUGCUGGGCCACACCUGACGCUGAGGAGCGAAAGCCAGGGGAGCGAACGGGAUUAGAUACCCCGGUAGUCCUGGCUGUAAACGAUGGAUACUAGGUGUCAGCGGUAUCGACCCCGCUGGUGCCGGAGCUAACGCGUGAAGUAUCCCGCCUGGGGAGUACGGCCGCAAGGUUGAAACUCAAAGGAAUUGACGGGGGCCCGCACA
rnacentral:rRNA from 1 species